AGAGUUUGAUCCUGGCUCAGGAUAAACGCUAGCGGCAGGCCUAACACAUGCAAGUCGAGGGGCAUCGGAUAGAGUACUUCGGUACUCUUGCCGGCGACCGGCGGACGGGUGCGUAACGCGUAUGCAACCUACCUUCAACAGGGGGAUAAUCCGAAGAAAUUUGGUCUAAUACCCCAUAAUAUUCCGACAGGCAUCUGUCGGAGUUGAAAGCUUCGGUGGUUGGAGAUGGGCAUGCGUUGUAUUAGCUAGAUGGUGAGGUAACGGCUCACCAUGGCGAUGAUACAUAGGGGGACUGAGAGGUUUUCCCCCCACACUGGUACUGAGACACGGACCAGACUCCUACGGGAGGCAGCAGUGAGGAAUAUUGGUCAAUGGACGCAAGUCUGAACCAGCCAUGCCGCGUGCAGGAUGACGGCUCUAUGAGUUGUAAACUGCUUUUGUACGAGGGUAAACGCAGAUACGUGUAUCUGUCUGAAAGUAUCGUACGAAUAAGGAUCGGCUAACUCCGUGCCAGCAGCCGCGGUAAUACGGAGGAUCCGAGCGUUAUCCGGAUUUAUUGGGUUUAAAGGGUGCGUAGGCUGUUUUUUAAGUUAGAGGUGAAAGCUCGACGCUCAACGUCGAAAUUGCCUCUGAUACUGAGAGACUAGAGUGUAGUUGCGGAAGGCGGAAUGUGUGGUGUAGCGGUGAAAUGCUUAGAUAUCACACAGAACACCGAUUGCGAAGGCAGCUUUCCAAGCUAUUACUGACGCUGAGGCACGAAAGCGUGGGGAGCGAACAGGAUUAGAUACCCUGGUAGUCCACGCAGUAAACGAUGAUAACUCGUUGCCGGCGAUACACAGUCGGUGACUUAGCGAAAGCGUUAAGUUAUCCACCUGGGGAGUACGUUCGCAAGAAUGAAACUCAAAGGAAUUGACG
rnacentral:rRNA from 1 species